CAUGGCUGGCUGAUCCCUUCUAGCUCCCUCCAGUAGUGUCCCACCUUGGCUAUAUCAGUAACUGCGCCUCCUGUUAUUUCUCCUUCCCAGUUGUCAAGGUCAAACCUGGGCUGGAUAUUGUGAUGUCACAGAGUGGAAUCCUCACUCCUCCAGAUGGUCCAGCUGAGGCCCUCUUGGACAACACUUCCUCUCCUGCCCAUGGUGGGAGGUUGGGAAGGACAUUCCCCCAUUUCCAUUUGCUCUGCCAUUCAAAACCUUGUGAGGGCCCUCAGGGAAGAAUCCCUUUGCAGAUGAGGAAACUGAGGCCCCACGUGGUGAAGACAAUUUUUACCCGAAUCCACCCACAACAAGAGACCAUUUGGAUAAUGUACAUUAUGGGAAGAGAACAGAGUCUCAGUGAAGAUCAUGUUUCCCCAGCAACACAGGUGCCAGGAGUAGCUGGCUCUGGUCCCAGCCCAGACUCAGAAAUCCUGAGCCACCAGACCAUUUCUAGAUUAACAAUGACCCACUGGAAACCAGUGUCAGCAUAACAACAGUUACGAGAGCUAAACCUACAAAAUAGAAACACAAGUAAAACUUGUUCAAGUGGUUUGCAGUCAUUGAACAUAGAUCAGCUCCUAUGAAAACAAACUCCAUGGGUUUUCUUUGAUGGCAGUUCUGCUCUAAAGAUGGAUAAGGAAGGAGGUUCCAAGAUGGCCGAAUAGGAACAGCUCCAGUCUACAGCUCCCAGCAUGAGCAACGCAGAAGACAGGGGAUUUCUGCAUUUCCAAUUGAGAACACAGGAGCUAUGUGGAGAGUUGAUGGAGGGACAUUCCAGGCAGAGAGAACAGCAAACACAAAGGCCUUGAAGGGAGCGGUGGCUUACAUCUGCAAUCCCACCACUUUGGGAGGCUGAGGCAGGUGGAUUGCUUGAUCUCAGGAGUUCGAGACCAGCCUGGGCAAUGUGGUGAAACCCAGUCUCUACCAAAAAAUACAAAAAUUAGCCGGGCAUGGUGAGCAUGCCUCUGGUCCCAGCUACCCAGGAGGCUGAGGUGGGAGAAUCACUUGAGCCUAGAAGGUCAAGGCUGCAGUGAGCCGUGAUUGAGCCACUGCAUUCCAGCCUGGGUGAUAGGGCUCAACACCACAUGGAAGCUGCCAAGGCUUGGGGCUCGCACCAUCUGAAGACAUGGUCUGAACUCUACGUUGGCCCUUUCAGC
rnacentral:lncRNA from 1 species